GCGCUUGCAUCCGGAAUGGACCUGAGUAUGUGAGAGGGCGGGAGCUCGCAAGUUUGAUUGACAGUAACAUCCGGUGUGACCCUCUCACCCCGUAAAAGCAAGACAGGUAGUCGAAAACAAUACUUGCAGACCUAAGAUUUCUUCUAUAUGUUAUAACAUAACAUUAUACUUAAAAAUAUCAGGAAUGGAAAAACCGUGAUCGAAUUGAGGCCGAUUAUCAUUUCAUAAGUCACCGGAAAGAGUAAAAAUAUUUUCCGUCAAACAAACCCACUAAAUGUUAAUUUUAUUUAAAUAUUCCAUCGUUCGCUCAAUGUCUGUGUCUCCGUGUUUUGACUGCGCCGUCCAUCCAGAAAUAAACACAAUUACAAAUCGUCGAGGCAUGCAAAGGUAAUGAUGUUUUGGUCACGUAACCUCUCCAUGUUGCUAGGUUUCGAUCAACAGACCGUCUACCAUAAACAGUGUGUAAUUUCGUUUUGAAAAUUCAAAGGGCAAAAUAUCAAGAAAACUAAAUUAAAAAUUGCGCACUUUUCUACCUAGAUAAAAGCGACAACUUAAAAUCAGUAUUAAAACUAGACAUACAUGUUUGAAUAAGCCGGGUUCGUGUCACGCAACCGGAGUAUUUCCCAAAGGGAAUUUAAUUUUGCCCAACGACAUAAUGCUUUAUACAAGAGCAGAGAUGAUCUGUUACGUUUAUGAUUUUACCACCAAUAUUGAAAUGAAAAAAUAUUGUGAGAAAUCAUAAAUUAAAAAUGCUAAGUCGUGUUAUCUCAAACAUGUAUCAUACUUUCUAUCCGUAUAUUUUUGAAGUGGAUGUCUCUAAAUUCAAUCAAUUUUUUUCCGACAACAAAUAUUAUUAGUGAGGCGCGACGAUCAUGUUUACGAAUGCUUAGAGCAUCCUGUUUUCGCCGUCUCGAGGCACGUACGGCAGGCACCUGCUCCAACCGGGCGCAAACCGCACAAUAGAGCAACCCCACCAGACCGGCCGCGAGACAAAAAUACGAUCGUCGCUGAGUUUCCGUACGUGCCGGGAUUACAUAAUCAUCUUAGUCACAGUCUUCAUUCUGGAACAACGAAGACAUCCUGUGAGCGGCUGCCUCGCUGAAGCCAUGGACCAUUAAAUUUUUAAAGAAAAGUUUGCAAGCCAAUUUUUUUUGUGAAAUUUUUCUCGACUGUGUAAAAUAAAUAAUUUGCCAAGUAUAAUUUGUCAGCUCUGUGGAUUUUUUGUCGAGUAACUGUUUGAUUCGAAACUUUCUGAUAUAUCUCAAUAGUUAACAGAACAAACAGGGAACAAGUUUCGAAUUUAUUUUAGCUUAUUUUAAGGCCAUACAGAAACUUUCCCUUAAAAAAUAUCAACAACCUCUUUAUUUUCUCUUACUGCGAAGUGAUUUUAUGUCCAAUUUUACGUAUUUUUUGCGUUUACAGGAGCGUUACUUAAAUGCAUAGCCGUAAUUUAUCAAGGAGCUCAUUACGUAAUAGCGAACUUAAGGCAGGACCCAUAUUAAAUUUCAGGACCCAUAGGUUCUAUAAAGUAGGGGUUGCUAUGAACACAGUCGUUCAAAAAAUGCCCACAUGGAUUAAAACGGAGAAACAAACCAAUUUCAAUUUCUUCACUUGAUUUUCUCCAAACUCACUUUAGAAUUUUGGUGCAAUUACGGUGUUUGUGAGACUUACAGAAUUUACAGCCAUGACGCGCGGUUUUUACAGAGGACCUUAUAUCCUCAGCCGCUUGAAGUUUAGUAUAUUUGUUGUGUGAAAAAGCAUGAAAAGCUUAGCUAUAACAACAACGGUUUGAAGUCUAAGUAAACGUUGGCCGGCCACAAGUUCGUGAGUCCUCGUUUUAGUGUAGAAACAGAAACUGUAAGUGUAACCGAUUUAACGAACAACAACCGGUUUAACAACGAGGUCCUCGGUAUAACGAACGACAUUCCUCAACCCGGUGAGAGUAAAAUGUAUGGCAAAGAACCUCUAUACAACGAAACCUCGUUACAGCGAACAUAUUUUGCCAGUCCCUUGGCUUUUCGUUACAUCGAGGUUCCACUGUGGUUCAUGUUUGUGAAAAAGAGGGUUUGUGACAUCAAAAGAAGUGUUAGUUGGAGGUUUAUAUAGAAUUCCAAAAAUGAAUUUUUUACUGUUUUAUAUAUUUGGAACGAUGGAACCGAAGAUAAUGAAAUUUAUGAUUCGAAAUUUUUUUCAAAUAAAGGCAGGAUGUUCGACUCAGAAGUCUGUACGUGACUGAAGACAAGGAAGUAAUUCCCACUCAUCAAUGUCUACUUGUUUCUGAAUGUAUCUGGAAUAAAAAUAGAAGCAUUUCUAGUCACUCGGACAUGUUUGCACUGCGUUCCUCACACAUCGGGUUAAUAAUUAUAUUGCAAAUACAAUAAAUGAACGAUAUCUGACCUAUGACACUGUGCAAGCCAUAGGAUAAAUUUCAUAUCACGUCUUAAAGACAACUAUCGGUAGAGCUAUUUUCCUAAUUUGGUCUAUGAUAGGACCUUAGAUAAUUAGGAAGUGCUUAGUCUUUGCAAAGUCGGCUCUUAUUUUGCUUAACGUGGCUUAAUUCAUUAAUACGCUAUUGUAAUUUGUUUCUUCUAACCCCAGUUCCGAACCAACAAGAUAGUUUGCAGUAUUAAUGAAGAGGGCACAAACAGAUUUAGAGUCAAUCUUUAAAAUAAUUAGUUUAUUGUGUUUUGCACUAACAUGACACCUCUUUAUUCUAGAGCAAGAACUAAAAAGUCAUAAACUCGUCGAAUCAGCCUUAAGGCGGUUGAAUGUCACAGACCGAAAUUUGUCUUCCCUUGACAAUGGAAGUCAAUGGAGUUUCGACGAAAAAUCACACUCAAUAGACUGUAGAAGCAUUAAAUAUUAUUAUGUAAAGAUCUAGCUUUACUAUUAGUUGCUUAAUAAAUCAUCCAAGUUUGACUAAUGUGACUUAGCAGUGAUUAAUUUCUUCAUGAGUUAUUUUAGGAAGUUACCUGACUGGGUAGGUCUCUUCAAUGGACGUGAUCUGAAUUUUGCUUCCUCUCUUUGUCGGUGUCAAAGUUCGGAUAUCUUACAUCAGCUUAUGCUUGCAGUCCAAAUUUAUGUCAUUCUUUUUUUAGUAUGUGUCGCCCACCUUUAUACAAGCAUUGUCUUGAAUGUAUUGGUGACUCAGUUAUAACUUUGUUAUUUGGAAUAACCCGGAAACUGUUCAGCAUUCUCUGAGCAUUCUUGCACAGCGAAAUCACAGCCCCAUUAUAAAGUACCUAAGCAUGAUCUAUCGACGCUGAUGGAACGAUUUAAAAGUGUCGUAGUGAGCGAGAGGGUGUGGCGACGCUAGAAGAACAACAUUCCUCAAUGGAAUCUAGUGCUUGUCGCAACACAUUUUCGCAGCCAGCUUGUGACACUGACAGAUUGGAGGACUCAUUAAAUAUAUCUUGCUUGAAGUUGUGAGACUUUGAAUGUUCCAUGAUUUCAGGUGAUAAUUUAAUUAACGAGAUUUGUAUUAUUUCGUUUUCUGAUUGUUUGUUAGUGUUGUGACACGCAUAAGCUCUACCGAAGGUACAUCUCAAAACAAGCUUAAUAUUAUCACGGUAACAGAUGAAAGAACUUAGUUACGUUUUCUGGUACAACCCGAAAAGGGAAUACAGUAUACAAGUAAGAAAUUAUUGGCCUCCAAGACAAAUGAAUCAUUUAUUUCCGAAUGUAUAUUUCAAUAUGAAAAUUAGACCGAAGGGUUUUGAAAAUCGUGUCAGUGCUGUAUCACCGUUGAUAGAGCAAGCUUACUUGCAAAAAUUCAUUUCCGUUACAAAACCAUUAAACUUUUCUCUAGCUUUCUCUUCAGAGCCUUUGAACGUGUAUUUAAACAGCUCCACGUUUGCAAUGGCAAAUGCUUAAACAAUUGUGUUUAACCAUCGGCAUUUAGCCAAAAAGAACUUCAUCGAGUAGCAUGGCUUGUGAGGUUUGCUCUCUGCAAAUAAAAAUCUUAAACACAUUGACUUUAAAAUGCUGUUACAGCUGUUAAUUAAAAAGAAAAACUUGAUUUCACCUGGGCUCGUUUCCAUAAAUUAAGAUUUUACUGACCAAGUUUGAAAGUCCCUAAAUAGCAAAUAAUUGAAAAAGGUAUUUUAGAAUCACAGCCUUUUCACCAAUCGCUAGUACUUAAACAACACAAACGUAUUUAAAUGAUGUGCUUAGCCUGUACCACGAGAUAUCUGGAGAGAGCUAAAAGCAGUGUCUCGUCCAGUAUUCACUGGAAUAAUUUUUCGUGUAAAAGUGCGGAGAACAAGAGUUUGAGCAUCUCUAAAUUGCAAACAAUAUCUAUUUAAACCUCAAUUCAGGCCGUUCCAAACUGCAAAAUGGCAGCUGCAUCAAGAAUUAUCAGUAACACAAAUAAAUGAUUCUUUAAGAACCAAACAAUGUGAAUGCUCCGGGAGAAAUCUCCAGAGAACUCCACGCAGUCAUCGAUUACUUGGACAGUUUAAUUUGUGAAAGUCAUCACAAAAUCUUAAAAGCCCACCUUCAAAAUACUCACAAGGUUUUCUAGCUGUGUAAGCUAAGAGCUCGAUUCCAUCUGUACUGGCUUCAAAUUUUAAAGCAAAACUUGAACGUCCCUAUACUCCAAAUAAUCCGAAUGGAUAUUCUAAAUAUAAAAUCAAGCGGAUGUAAACUUCGUGGGUCACCAGUAGUAGAGUAACUGCUUCAAGAAUCAACAGUAACCCAGCUUAAUGACUUUUUUAAAAUAAUUUGGAUACACCACGACAUAUCUGGAGAGAUCUAGAGGCAGUCACUGGCCCAUUUUUAUUUUUCAAGUCCAAAGUCUGCAAACUAUUCAAAUUCAGAAUACUAACAGGUUUUUUUCAGCUUUUCAAUGAGAUUUCCUUGAACAAAUCUUUCAAUCCAAGCUGAGACAUACCUAAUAACUUGUAAAUAAUCGAAAUGGUAUUCUACAUUCAAAUCACAAGAAGUUUCAUGUGACUACAGAAUCUUAGCGGCUUCAGAAAUCACUUGUAGUAAAAGAGCCAUAAACGAUACUUUUUAAAGUGAAAAUUUGAAAUGUACCAUGAAAUUCGUACGACAGACAAAUGCAGUCACUUGUCCAGUAUUAUUCAAAGCUGAAUGUACAAAAUCUUAACAACCCAAACUUCAGAAUAAUGACAAGAAUGUCUAGCUGCUAUAAAAAGCUGUUGUCCAGCAGUUAUAAAAAGAACUUGAUUUUAAUUCUACAAGUCUCAAUAAAUAAAGUAUUGUGAACGUCCUUUUUUUAAACAAUGAAUUAAAUUUGGCAGAACUUUCAAGUUUUGAGGUCAUGGCUGCUUCAAAACAACAAAUGCAAAGAAAACUCAAAUGAUACUUUUGGUGAUGUCAAUAAACUAUGAGAUAGCUUUUUGAUCUAUACCAAAACUUAAGAAAUUUAAUUCCUGCCUUACAAAAAGUCAAAUCUAACUGUUAACAAAGAUGGACUACUUCUCAGUAAAAAGACCAAACUUCAUAAUGAACCAUUAAUGUUGUUCGAUGAUACAUUCAGUGGGCAGUCUGUUGAAACUGGGUACAUAUGCAUGGGCCUCGAGGCUUACACAAUGUGGAUGAAAAUAAAUUCGACACUGGUUAUAUUUCAUCCAAGACAAUGAUGUAGCUAGUGAUUUGGAUUUGAACGCAACAACAUGUAUACCGCCAACGAGAUAGCAGUACAAUUUACUGUUUGAUUAAAAAAUGGCGAAGAAGGAAUUGCUACAAGUACCUAAGUGGAUCUCCACGUAUCUCCACAAUUGCUUUCCCUUGCAGAGCUAAAACAUCAAGUUUCGGAGUAGGUCCUCUCACAGAAGUCAGCCUUAACUGAGAAGUAGCAUUUAUAUUACACACUAGAGCCAGACAAAGCAGACAUAUUUACGAUUUAUGCUGUUUAACCUGAACCAAUCUCAGUUCAGUUCAAAUUCUCUGUAUUAAGUAGUACACACCAAAGGGUUAGCUUACACUCACUCUCAUUAUAGAAAUCAGUUGAUGGAUUUUAGUGUAACUUGACUGCCAUCAGAUAGUGAAAUUAAAAAAAAUUGCAUUCUGAACACUGGUUUUUUUUUUAUUUAAGGUUUAUUUAAGGUUUAAAACGUAGUGAAACAAGAUGGUGGACAUGUUGCAUGUUGCAUGCUGACCUUCGUGAAGUAAUUUCUAGACAUAUUUUAGAAAUUGGUGCCUUUUUGUAGAUGGUUUAGCUCACAAAAAAGAGUAUUAACACACUGAAUACUUAUUUUCUCUUCUUCUGACGCCUUUCAGAGGCGAAUAAGACAAUUUUGCACUUGUCUUUGGCGAGUGCUAUGAAUACAGUUUGAAUGAGAUCACAUCCGAGGCAACCGCUUGAAUACAACUACAAUACCCGUUGCAUGGCCACUGUUUUUCUGCUCCAAAAACCCUUGCUUUAAAAUACCCUAAAAUUUCCAGCUGUUUAAACCAGCUUUCUUUUAUUCUCAGCUAAUUGCCACUAAACAGUUAACUGCAUUGGUAAUAAAUACAUAUGGUUUUACUGAAUAUGUGUCACUGAAACUUGGCAGUCGAUGAUCAAACAGUCAAUGACUCAACAGCUCUCGGUUAAGCAGGACAAAUUAGACCAAUUCCCAGGCUAUGAGUUUAUUACCUGACAGAAAUCGACGGUUUAAUCUUUCCCUGUCAAAUUUAAAGUAUUAAUUUUUGACCACCAUAGAGUGAAUGAAGAAAGCUUGAGCCUGCUUAGCUAUAAUCGAAUAAACCAACUGGGACCAUCACAGACUGAUAUCACAAUGGGUUGAGCUUCGUAACUUACUCAAGUUUACCUGAAGGAUUACGGCAAACUAACCUUGUCAAUCAGUCCACAUCAGGUUAAAUCUGAAGAGACGUGUCUUUGCCUAGAUGGGCGCCUUUUGAGGUAAAAUGUGUGGCUCGUGCACCAAACCGACGAAUGGUUUCCAAUAUUUUGUUGAGCAUUUCGUUUGAGUUAAGCAAGGACGAAACGCGACUCUAAUGUUACGUUGGUUACUAAUAUCUUCAAGCUGAAACACUCAAGUCAGACAAUAAUAACUCAUUAUAAAUAGGAAAUCCACAACACCAGUGGACAGUAGUUUCUCACAUGCUCAGCUGUCUUCCUUCACUAAAAGGAUUGAUCAUCUUUGUUUACCAAUCGAUACAAAGCACAAACCCCCCAGUUUCAUCACACGACGCACGAUCUUUGCAAAAAUCUCCACAGUUGAUCCUACAUACAACUUUGAGAUUAUAUAUUCCUUAUAAUUUAAAACGAUGUUGCUUAUGAUACAAAAUAUUUGGAAAAGCCAGCUGGUUUCUUGGUUUAAGCCACACAAUAGGUCAGUUCUGCUGUGCAACAAAGACUCACUGGCCAUCCGGUUUUGCUCGAGGAGGGUCGAGGGCGUGCACGUGAACCGAUCCAUACAUACAUAAAGAGUGGAUAGACGCUGUUCUGCACAUAUAUACCUUGUUUUCCAUCCCUGAGCAUAUUAGCGGUUGAGUAAACCCAAUGCCUUGCCAUCGGUUUGUAGCAUUUACGGCUGGUAACACAUUUAUCUUGACCUUAUAUUGAGCAACAGUGAGAAUUGUUUCCAUAUUUCGUUUAGCACGGACAACUUAUCUGCGGACUUUGGAGUGCAAUAUACUCAAUUGAGUUUGCAUGUCAGUAUUUGAAAAACAUCGCUACGUCCGAGAAAUACGUCCAGAAAUUAAGCGAAAUUCAUUUGCCUGCCUGCAAAAGGGGGCUGUUUAGCUCACCAAAAUUCACUUUCAAGGAUUCUAACUGUAUGAAACUCUUUGUGGGUUAGAGAACACCUUCGUCUUGACAGUGGCAGCGAACGCACCUACAGAACUGUCAUUACGCAACGAUAUUGAACGUCUAUGAGACAGCACCUUUUUGUAGUUUACUCAGUUGGGGUUAAGUAGCAUAAUUAUACAAGCUUCAGAUGUGAUGUCGAGUGAAGUCCGCGCGGGCAUCUAGCUGUACCAAGCAAAUUAGUCAGUCUUCGGCAAACUCAUUUAGAACGUUUCACCGAUACCUUAAUGUCCAUUUU
rnacentral:lncRNA from 1 species